GCAAGCGUUAGUCGGAAUUACUGGGCUAAAGGGUGCUAGGCGGAGAUGUAAGUCGGAUAUGAAAUCCCGGGGCUUAACCUCGGAAAUGCAUACGAAACUACAUCCCUUGGGGAAUGGCGGAGAAAAUGGAAUUCCAUAUGUAGCGGUGAAAUGCGUAGAUAUAUGGAAGAACACCUGUGGCGAAAGCGGUUUUCUAGCCUCCUCCCGACGCUGAGGCACGAAAGCAAGGGGAGC
rnacentral:rRNA from 1 species